AUUGAACGCUGGCGGCAUGCCUUACACAUGCAAGUCGAACGGCAACAGGGAGCUUGCUCCGCUGACGAGUGGCGAACGGGUGAGUAAUGUAUCGGAACGUACCUUUUAGUGGGGGAUAACGUAGCGAAAGUUACGCUAAUACCGCAUAUUCUCUGAGGAGGAAAGCAGGGGACCUUCGGGCCUUGCGCUAAUAGAGCGGCUGAUAUCGGAUUAGCUAGUUGGUGAGGUAAAGGCUCACCAAGGCGACGAUCUGUAGCGGGUCUGAGAGGAUGAUCCGCCACACUGGAACUGAGACACGGUCCAGACUCCUACGGGAGGCAGCAGUGGGGAAUUUUGGACAAUGGGGGCAACCCUGAUCCAGCCAUGCCGCGUGAGUGAAGAAGGCCUUCGGGUUGUAAAGCUCUUUCGGCCGGGAAAAAAUCGCAUGGGUUAAUACCCUGUGUGGAUGAUGGUACCGGAAUAAGAAGCACCGGCUAACUACGUGCCAGCCGCCGCAGUAAUAC
rnacentral:rRNA from 1 species